UUUCCGUAGGUGAACCUGCGGAAGGAUCAUUAAUGAGUUGUCAUGGGGUUCGAUGCUGGCAGCCAAUUUUUGGAUGCAUGAGCUUGCCCUAACAAUCAUCUUCCAAACACCUGUGCACAUUUUUGAGGGAGUCUUGAGUUGGUUGCCGCUCUUGGGUGAUUUUCUCACAUUCCCUUAAAUCAUUAUACGCUAUUAACAAUGUUGAACGUGCUCUGUGCCGCAAGGCUAUUAAUAUAAUACAACUUUUAACAACGGAUCUCUUGGCUCUC
rnacentral:misc_RNA from 1 species